rnacentral:lncRNA from 1 species
CUCAGGUCAGCGGAGUAAGAAUUAAGUAGAAGACAAAGAAAGAGGAUGGGUGGGGUAAGCCUUAGUGCUCGCCACUCUGGAGGUAUGGGAGCUGAGUCACAGAAAGCCCAUACAUCCCGCUUUCCGCAGUAUUAGGGAGGCCCGUCAGCGGAUGGGUUUUUCUGGAUUUAUGCCUAAAGACAAUGCCAAUUUUCAAAGGGAAUGGUCGCAUGUCACGUCCCAGCUGAUCUAGAGAAAGGAAGCAGUGCAAGCAGAGAAAGAGUUAAGUCAGCCUCACUAUGACAUCAGCCUCAUUUGCAUGGGAGGGAGGAUAUAGCUGCUCCGCAGAGCUCCGUACGCUACAGUUCGGAGCUGCCGCCUUGGAGAGCUGACUUACUGGUGCGCCCUGCCCGUCACUGGUGAGGAUCCCGCUCCCGUUUCUCUUUUCUUCCCUUCCCCUUGUUUGAGCAUCUCUAGACUUAACAACUUAAUCUGCAAAAAUGUCUGACAAACCAGAUAUGGCCGAGAUUCAGAAAUUCGAUAAGUCUAAAUUGAAGAAGACAGAAACACAAGAGAAAAAUCCACUGCCUUCAAAAGAAACAAUUGAACAGGAGAAGCAAGCGGGUGAAUCGUAAUGAAAUCUGCCCUGCCAAUAUGCACUGUACAUUCCACAAGCAUUGCCUUCUUAAUUUUACUUCUUUUAGCUGUUUAACUUUGUAAGAUGCAAAGAGGUUGGAUAAAGUUUAAAUGACUGUGCUGCCCCUUUCAACAUCAAAAGAAUAAAGAACUACUGACACUGAAUUGAAAUGAAGGCCCAGCCGGCUGCCUCUUUCCAUCUGCCUGUCCUGGCUAGUUUGGGUCCUGGUGGCAUUUAAAAAAAAAUUUUUUUUUUUUUUUUUUAAAGAGCUUGCAUGUUGGUGAAAAGAAGAACUCGGGUGGGACUACAGUAAAUCUAGUUAACAGUAAAAUGCAAAGCUGUACCAAGGUCCUGGCAAGCUGUAAAAUGCAGUUAAUCAGAGUGCCAUUUUUUUUUUUGUUCAAAUGAUUUUAAUUAUUGGAAUGCACAAUUUUUUUAAUAUGCAAAUAAAAAGUUUUAAAAUCUGGCUGGUAUUGCUGUGUAAUCUUUGGAAGAUCAAUGUUGCAAGAAGAAACCUUGAGGGUCUGUCAGUGACUUCACAAUGGUAGGGGCUUCCUUUGGAAAAAGCAAUAAAUACUCCUCAAAAUUGGUUUUUCUAUGUUGGGUAAAUCCUAUUGCAGAUAAGAAUUUUCAUCCUGAUUAUGUAAAAUAUCUAUAUGUAACUAGCAUUAUGUACCAGUUACUCAUGACUUUGUUUUCUUAGAUUUACUUUUAUUAGAAUUUGUCUUUAUUUACCUGUGAUGAUCAUGUUAAAGUAUUGUGGAAGGAAAUUGCUAUAUCCACAUUUUGCGAUUCUUUUUGUAUGACCUCACUGGAGAUCAGUUUGCAAUUUAAAUAGCACUUCAUAAAAUUAAUCAAUUGCAUUGCAAUUUGCAUUGGUGCAAAUAGAGCCUGGAUGAGAAUUUUCUAUUUAGUCACAGAGGGGUUAUACAUGUGCUUUCACCUUAUUGUUGGCCUAAUUUCUAUUGAAUGGUAAAAUCUUUUUUUCCAAAUAACAGUUCUGAUUUUGAAAGUUCACUGUUAAAAAAAAAAAAGUUCAUUGUACCAUCUUGUAUUUGUUUGCAUAAUAAACCUUGAUGGACUAAAAGUAGAGUAGCUGGCAAUUUUGAGUGAC